GACAGAGGUCUCGAGCGUUAGGCGGAAUCACUGGGCUUAAAGCGUGUGUAGGCGGAUGUCUAAGUACCUUGUGAAAUCCCAUGGCUUAACCAUGGAAUUGCUUGGUAUACUGGAUGUCUUGAGCCAGCUAGGGGCAACCGGAACAAAUGGUGGAGCGGUGAAAUGCGUAGAUAUCAUUUGGAACGCCAAUGGUGAAAACAGGUUGCUGGGGCUGUGCUGACGCUGAGACACGAAAGCCAGGGGAGCGAACGGG
rnacentral:rRNA from 1 species